UACCAGCUCUCCGAGUGGUGUGGAUGUUUAUUGGGCCUAAAGCAUCCGUAGCUGGCUGGGCAAGUCCCCUGUUAAAUCCACCGAUUCAAUCGUUGAGCCGCGGGAGAUACUACUAGGCUAGGAGGCGGGAGAGGUCGACGGUACUUUCGGGGGUAGGGGUGAAAUCCUAUAAUCCCGGGAGGACCACCAGUGGCGAAGGCUGUCGACUAGAACGCGCUCGACGGUGAGGGACGAAAGCUGGGGUAGCGAACCGGAUUAGAUACCCGGGUAGUCCCAGCUGUAAACUAUGCGGGCUAGGUGUUGGGGUGGCUACGGGCCACUUCAGUGCCGCAGGAAAGCCAUUAAGCCCGCCGCCUGGGGAGUACGGCCGCAAGGCUGAAACUUAAAGGAAUUGGCGGGGGAGCACCACAAGGCGUGAAGCUUGCGGUUC
rnacentral:rRNA from 1 species